rnacentral:lncRNA from 10 species
AUUUAUGUUUUUGUUUUCACACGCACUUCAUAUCUAAGACUCAGUGGGCCUCACCAAGAAACAAAGAUGUGAUUAACAUUUAAAUCAGCACACUUUCAGUAAUGCAGAUUACCCUCCAUAAAGUGAACGAGACCCAUCCAAUUAGCGGAAGGCCUUCAAGCAAAAAAAAAUAUACUGGCCUCUCCUAAAGAAGAAGAAAUUCUGCCAGCUGCCUGUCUUUAUACUACUGGAGCUGCAACAGUAGCUCUUCCCUGAAUACCCAGCAUGUGAACCUAUUCUGCAGAUUUUGGACUUGCUAUCCUCCACAAUAUUGUAUGAGUCAAUUUCUUAAAAUAAAUGUCUCCCUUUCUCUCCACACACAAAUACACACAUACACAGAGACACAUGCACACACAGAGAGAACCUAUUACUUCUAUUUCUCUGAAGAACUCUAAUACAAAAACCCAGCAUAUGUUCUAUUUUGGUGAAUAUUUCAUGUGCCCUUCAAAAGAAUGUGAACUUUUCUUGUGUAUGAAUGUGUCUAUAAUUGCAAAUUAUUUAGCUAGUUGUUAAUUUUUUUCAGGCCAACUUGUUCUAUUAAAUAAUAAAAGAGAAGUGUGAAAGUUCUCAAAUAUAAUUAGUGGGUGUAUGUAUUUCUAUUUGCAGUUUUUCAGUUUUUGCUAUACGUUUUCUGAAGCCCUGUCACUAGAGACAUAUACUUUCAGGGUUAUGUCUGUCUUCUCGAUGAAUUUACCAUUUUAUUUUUAUGAAAUGUCCCUUAUAACUUCUGGUAAUAUUCAUUCUUUUAAAUUCUGUUUUUUCUAAUGAUAAUUUAGUAACUCCAGCCUUCUUAUUAUCAGUGUACACAUUGGAUACUUUUCCUCUUCUUUUAGUCUUAAUGUUUCAUAUUUAAUCGAGUUCUUUAGGUAUAGUAUAUAAUUUGGCC